UGAGGAACAUGACUUUCGGCGGGGGAUAGCCGGCCCAACGGCCGGGUAAUACCGCGUACGACCUUUUGGGGACAUCCCCGAUUGGUGAAAGCAGCAAUGCGCCGAAAGAGUGCCUCGCGGCCUAUCAGCUGGUUGGUGGGUAAUGGCUCACCAAGGCGACGACGGGUAGCUGGUCUGAGAGGAUGGCCAGCCACAUUGGGACUGAGACACGGCCCAGACUCCGUACGGGNGCAGCGAGGG
rnacentral:rRNA from 1 species